CGCGGGGUGGAGCAGUUCGGUAGCUCGCUGGGCUCAUAACCCAGAGGUCGCAGGUUCAAAUCCUGCCCCCGCAA
rnacentral:tRNA from 3 species